GUAGUCCACGCCGUAAACUAUGGAUACUAGGUGUCCGGGAUGUUAACCUCCUGGGUACCGUAGCUCACGCAUUAAGUAUCCCGCCUGGGGAGUACGGUCGCAAGACUAAAACUCAAAGGAAUUGACGGGGGCCCGCACAAGCGGUGGAGUAUGUGGUUUAAUUCGAAGCAACGCGCAGAACCUUACCUAGGCUUGACAUCCACUGACCCCUACAGAGAUGUAGGUUUCCCUUCGGGGACAGUGAGACAGGUGCUGCAUGGCUGUCGUCAGCUCGUGUCGUAAGAUGUUGGGUUAAGUCCCGCAACGAGCGCAACCCUUGUCCUUAGUUGCCACCAUUAAGUUGGGCACUCUGAGGAGACUGCCGGUGUUAAACCGGA
rnacentral:rRNA from 1 species